AUUCUAAUGAAUUUUUUCGAAUGAUAAAAUUAAUUUAAAAAAAAGUGUAAAAUUAUAUUUUAUUAUAAAUUAUUUUUACAAUCUAUUACAGAUGAAAUGGAACCAAAUUGUAUCGCAAAGGGCUUGAUAUGCUCUGCUACGAUGGAUCAGAACAAUGGAAGUUUAAUGAUAUUACCGCCUAAUGAUAUCUACUGUAAAAUGGGAAACCAUUCAAUUAGUGUUAUAAAAAAUUUUGCACUCGAGUUAGUGGAAAGUAAUAACAACGGCACGUAUAAUUUAAGUGGAAGAUUCUUACCUCGUGAAUCGUU